CCCCGCUGGCGGAAUUGGUAGACGCACUUGACUUAGGAUCAAGCGCCUUACGGUGUGUCGGUUCGAGUCCGACGUGGGGCAA
rnacentral:tRNA from 1 species